rnacentral:lncRNA from 1 species
AGGUUUAUAGGCCAACUUUAUUUUAAUAUAUAUCGUUUAUACUUCUUAUUUUAGUAUAUGCGGUUAUAAAUUAAAUUUUUUAUAUGAAAUUUUCAGGUAAUAACUGGUCAGAGGGUCUUCUGCUUCCUCCGUUUGGCAGUAUUGCUGAUGAUGAUGUCAUGAACGACAAUCUUGAUUUUCUUAAUGUCCCCCAAUAUGGAAGAAACCCCGACUACAUGGGUUAAGUGCAGCACUGCUUUUUUUUUUUUCUGUUUUGUUUAAUUAAAUAAAUGAUAGGUAUACUAUUACCUAUCAAUCAUGACAAUGUUUUAGUAUGGUUUAGUUCAACUUAUAAGAUUUCUUGAGACGUACAAGCAAUCUUUUUGUUUACUUUUGAGCUAAGUAUUUUCCUGAAAAAGGAAAUAAAUCAAUAAAAGUUAUUGUGUGUGUCAACAUAUUGGUUCUAUUAGUUUAUACACGUCGGUUUUAAUUACGAUCUCUCUUCCUAAAUGUUGUACUUUUUUUUGAAAUAAACUCAAAACUUUGUUGUAUAAAAAACUCUUAUCACUUUCAAUCAUAUGAUGGUUACAAUUUAAUCAUUUAUUCAUAACAUCCUCCUGGUCCUCCAUUGAGGAUAUUAAAGUGUGCCAUUCUGUAACCCAGAACUAUCAUUUCUUCCACCUCUACGAUAUCUUGUAAUGUUACUUGCAGCUUCAUAAGCCACAGAAACAUCAUCAAAAUCAACAAAUUGUUUUUUUUUUUUUUUAGGAAAGUAAUAAGAAAAAUAAAAGCUGCAUUAUUUUAUUGGCCACAUUGGACUCCUAGGCCGGGUAAUCUUGUCAUCUCUACUCGUAGAGUCUUCUCCCAUGGUACUUGCAUGGUUCCAUCUUUUAACUCUAGUAGUAUUUUGUUUGGAAAAUAACCCAAUAUAAUAUCUUCAUUCAAGAAAAUUGAGGACUGAAUUUGUGGUGCUUUUAUCAUAUUAAAUUACAUUUAAUUAUCAAUAUUUAUUGACUGAAAUCAGAAGGGUGUUUGAAUCAGAUAUGAAUUCUCUCUUAAUCAAUUUUUUUUUCUAAAUUUUGUAAGAUAUUAUGGCAGAUUUCAUUUAAAUUGUUUUAUAGUUAGGAUUUAAUUUAUUUUGGGCUUUCCUUAUUGUUUGAAUCCGAUGAAUUUCAUAUCAUCUUGCUGGUGCUUCUUCUGAUCUUCUUCUCCCUCCCUCUCUCUCACUUUUUUUCUUCUCUCUCACAGACCUAAAACUUUGACGAGCAAAUUUGAAAACGAAAUAUCAGGACGGAAAAGCCUCAACAUAUUAAAAAAUUCGGAUAAUUUAACUCUCGUAGCAUUGAUGAAUUUUGGUGUUCUGAUGCGAUUCAAGUUUCUCAUAGAGCCAAAAAAUGGCAAUUCAAGCCAAUUUUUUUAUCCAUCAAUUGAAAUACAUGUUACAUAUGCAGCAGCCCGUAAUCGAAAAUAACUUAAUUUGUUUUAAAAAUUCUUUAUGUUAGACUAGAAAUGAAUCCAUUCUUGUUAUUGCGUAUCUGCAAUUUAACUUAUGCUGCUAGUUUACAAUUUAUUUUAUUCACAUAAAUGAUCGUUCCUUUUUCUUAUUCUCAAUUAAAUUUUGGUUCCUAGAAUGAUAGUUAAAAAAAUUAACAAUAAUAAUCGAUGUCGCAGAUCAAUUAUCAAAGUUUGUUUGUGUGAACAAGAAAUAUGAGAAAAAGUUUGUUAGUUAAUUGUCUCUUAGUUUUAGAAUUUUGAUUAACCAAUAAAACAACGUAUUUUAUUGUUUAAUAAAACAAGUUCAAAGUAAAUUCAAUCCUAGUCAUAUUUUGAUAUUUUUAUUACAUCGCAAUUAAAUUUAAGACAAACCACAUUUCGGCAAUUAAAUUUAAGACAAGCCACAUUCUCCACAUGAAAUAUUUUUGUCGCGUCGUGAUUAAAUGAUUGAGUCUCACGUAGAAGUCUGUCACUAACCAUAUAUUUUUAUAAAUUUAUCAACACAAAAAGAAAAAAAAAAUGAAGUAUUUGAAAUUUAUCUGGGGCUAAGCAGUAACAUUGGAUGUUGCCUCGGAUGUCCUAUAUCAAGGGCCCGAUUAAUAAAAUUUUGGGCCCUAGGCAAAAUUUCUAAAUUAGCCCUUUUUAUUUAAAUGAAAGUUAAUGUGAGAUUAAUUUAAAUUUUUACGAUUAAUAUGAAUAAUUUAUUUUUUUAGAUAUAAUUCCUUUACAUAGUUUGUAUCUGUAUUAUUUCAAAGAUUUUUUUGGGUUAUGUUUAAGCAGGCUUAUUUUUGAGAGAUUAUGAAGAAUAAGAGAUUGUGUUUCAAUUGGAAAUAACAAAAAUUUCGUUGCAUAAUUUUUUUUAAGCAUUAAAGAAAUAAGUUAUUGACGGAAAUUUCACUUUCAACAUAGAGAAUAUCCAACAUUUUAAACAAGAAAAUAAAUAAAUUCUGAUUUUUUAACUGAACUAUAUAUUGAGGUGGGGCCAAAAUUUUUGGAGAGCAAAUAUAAUAACUCAAUUUCUAAAUAAUGAAUAAUGACUCAAUUUCUAAAUAAUGAAGUAAAACAUAAAUUAGGGUUUUAGUAGGAAAGUAUAUUAGAUGGGACCUUGAUUUUAGGGGAAGGCAUAGGCAGUUGCCUAAAGAGUAGAGCUUCUAACACCCCUUUUAAACUUGUAACAAACCCCAAUUUUUUGUUUUUUUAAGUCUCUUUCUUUUAUGAAAAAUACAGAAAAGGACAUAAAGUUAUAAUGAAAUUUUAAUUGAACUUCACUACUGUAUAGAAUACAUUUUGUAAACAAAUUUUUCAUAAUAAAUUUUUUAAUAAAUAAUUUAUUUCUUUGUUAUUUUGUUUUUAUCAGCAAAUUAAUUAUAAUAUCAUAGGAUUAGCAAAUAGUCAAGAUUCAAGAUUUGUUAAGCUAUUUUAAUGUAAUCAAAUUCAUAUUUUUCCUUUUAGUAAUUCUUAGUAAUAAUAGAACUAUUAUUUUAAAAGUAGGGUGAUGCAAGAAUAUUAAAACGGUGUGAAAAGCAUUACUCUUGCCUAAAUUAUUCCAAGGUUGAACCGGCGUGUCUAAUUACCACCCUCUAGAGAAAGGGGAAAUUUUUUUUUCCGAAGACAACCAUGUUUUGGGUAUUUCUACCGACACUCUACAAAAUAAAUGCUGGAAGAAAAUUAAUACUCUAUUAAUUGUUAGGGACAAAUCACACUUCCGUUGAGAAUAGACCUUCAGUUAAGUAUACCGGUUUCGACAUCCCUCGACUCUUGAGCUUUUCUUUGAAUAUAAGUUGGGUUCGUGGGUUUUUAUAUAAUAUCAGAGUUAGAAUCGUACAUAAGUGAGUCCACACUACCUUACCACAUCGAUUGAGAAUAAAUAUUGAGUUCAAUAUUAAACCUUCAACCACAAGGAUAAAACUAAUUAAGGCCCUUGAGGGGCUUCAAUACAUCCUCAACUAUUAAAUUCAUGGAAAUUCAUAUUAAUUUAAUGGAGUUGAACUUUUGGCACCCCUUUGAAUAUGUCUUAAAACACAUUUUCUUUACUUAUCCCAUUAAAAUUGUAUAAAGAUUGCACACUUUCUCAUGAAAUCCCUAUGAUUCUAAAAAUAACCCUGAUUUCUUGUUAAAUAAACACCAAUGCAGAUGCGGCAAUAAAAUAGUUAAUUUAAAAAAAAAUCCCUAUCUGAGAGACAGAAAGCUAGAGGAUUUCAAUAUGGAAUAUUUAUGAUCAAUAGAAGAAUUCAAGUGACUGGAGAAAAUUCAGAUUGUUCAAAAUGGGUUCUCAAACGAGAUAAGCCUCAGGUAGUAGACCUCACCAACAUCAGUACCAGACUCAAUCCAUUGAAUCGGUCUCGUCUUAAGCCUAACAGCUCCCUUCUAAUAUAAUCUAGUGAGAACGGUGAGGUGCUUGGUAUAUCAUACACCAAAAAUCAACGAUGCUUGGACUUUCAAGAAAAAGAGAAAAACAAAUGCAUGCACGGGGAAACGUACUAAUAAAAAGCAAAUCAUAUAAUUUACAAAUUAUUAUAGGCUUGUAGCCAUAAGAUCGAGAGAAACUAAAACAUUUCUUGCAUUUUCUGGCCAUAUUUUCUAAAUGAAGGGAUGGUCCAUUGCUGCUCUGCCAUACUGGAUCUCAAGAUGUCAUUAACAAUAGGUCUCAAGAUGUCGCUAACAAGGUGUCACUCUGAUACCGACAGGUCUACCACUUAGACAUAACACUUGCCAUAUAAAAAUUUCUCCUAUUUUUGCUAUUUCCUUCGUAUCUUGCAUUGAAUUAUUGCCAGCAAAUGAUAUUUCGAGUCAAAAAAGUAUAUUCAAUUAUUGCAUAUAUGCUCCUAGGUAAUUUGCACAAUUGAAUUAUAGCUGUUAUUCUACUUAUUUACACAAUUGAUUAAUUGUACGCAUCCAUUGCAAGACUUUCGCACUAGGUUUCAAUUUCAACCACAAAUCCUAGCUCUAGAUAAAAAUGAUGUGGUCGUAGAGAUUUCGAAUGUAUUCACUUUGUGAUUAACGGAAGCAUUGCUUUCAUUUGUAAGACGUUGUCAUCAGAGAUUAAUUAAUUAAUCAUCAUUUUGCUAAAGGAAAAAGAAUGAAAAAAGCUGCACUAUUUUAAAGGCCAUUUGGUAUAUGACCACUUCGCAUUGGACUUGGAGACCGGGUAAUUUUGUCAUCUCUACUCCAAGAAUCUGCUCUCAUGCUACUUGCAUGGUUCCAUCUUUGAAGUCUGGUACUGUUUUGUUUGGAAAAUACCCCACUAUAAUAUCUUCACGAAGAAAAUUGAUCCCCGUUAACUAGCGUGAUUAGCUUAGUUUCUUAAAUUCAACGUUCGUUUGGUUAAUUGUCUGUUAGUUUUAGAAUUUUGAUUAGCCAAUAAAACAAUGAGUUUUAUUGUUUGAUAAGGCAAGUUGAAAUAAAUUCAAUCCUACUCACAGAAAAAUUUAAAUGACACAUAUCAUAAUCUUUUUCAUAUCUUCAGAAAAAUUAAAUCAUAAGAGGAUCAUGAACAAUUUGAUGAUGCUCUGAAAUAUAGUCUUCUGUUUUUCAAGGAAAAAAUAAGGAAGUUAAAAACAUGUUUAUCAGGUUUUUCAGAGAUCAUUUUGACGUUUUUGUUUAAAAACAUGAAAAUUGUUCUUAUUCUCGUAAAACAGAAAAAAUUAUCUGGCCGGUUAGCUAAUUAUUCUUGUUCUUCUGUUCUUUUUUAUUUGAAUUGUUUCUCCCUUUUCCAUUCAUUUUUCACUAUGAAAUUAAUUACUAAUUAAUCUACAGUUAGUUUCUCUACAGCUAAUAGGAACGUGAUUUAUGCCCGAAGACUCGCAUCUUUUUUAUUCAUUAUCUACAGUGCCUCACCUCCAAUCUAUGUAUAGGCGGACAUGCAUAUUUAUUAUAUCAAAUAAGUUAUUGAUGGAAAUUUCACUUUCGAAAUAGAGAAUUAUCCUUAAUUAAAUCUUUGUGGGCCUAAAUUCGAGUAAGAUUUAAUGAUGUAUGAUUCAAAAUUAUUGAAAUCGGACAUUUUAAACAAGAAAAAAAUAAAAAAAUCUUGUUCUCUUUUUUAAAUAAUAAAUUUCAUUUUGAUGGAUUUUUAAUAUUAAAUUAGACAUUUGCUAAAUUGGCUCAAAUAUAAUAGAUCUUAGACCUUGCUUUUAAUGGAUUUAAUUAGGUUUUGGGCAUUUAAAUUAUACAACUGGAGACAGAAUUUAUAAAUAGAUAAGAUUCUAAUGUGAUUUUAAAAUAAAUUUGAACUUGAACUUGAACUUGAUGCAUUUAAUUAAUCCAGAAAGGUAAAUUUAUAAUUUCAACUUUUAAAUAAAACAUAUCCUUUGGAUUUUUUACAUAAACUAGAGGCAAUUGUACAAUAUUUACUUGACUAGUGGUAUAGAACAAUUUGAUGAUGCUCUGAAAUAUAGUCUUCUGUUUUUCAAGGAAAAAAUAAGGAAGUUAAAAACAUGUUUAUCAGGUUUUUCAGAGAUCAUUUUGACGUUUUUGUUUAAAAACAUGAAAAUUGUUCUUAUUCUCGUAAAACAGAAAAAAUUAUCUGGCCGGUUAGCUAAUUAUUCUUGUUCUUCUGUUCUUUUUUAUUUGAAUUGUUUCUCCCUUUUCCAUUCAUUUUUCACUAUGAAAUUAAUUACUAAUUAAUCUACAGUUAGUUUCUCUACAGCUAAUAGGAACGUGAUUUAUGCCCGAAGACUCGCAUCUUUUUUAUUCAUUAUCUACAGUGCCUCACCUCCAAUCUAUGUAUAGGCGGACAUGCAUAUUUAUUAUAUCAAAUAAGUUAUUGAUGGAAAUUUCACUUUCGAAAUAGAGAAUUAUCCUUAAUUAAAUCUUUGUGGGCCUAAAUUCGAGUAAGAUUUAAUGAUGUAUGAUUCAAAAUUAUUGAAAUCGGACAUUUUAAACAAGAAAAAAAAUAAAAAAUCUUGUUCUCUUUUUUAAAUAAUAAAUUUCAUUUUGAUGGAUUUUUAAUAUUAAAUUAGACAUUUGCUAAAUUGGCUCAAAUAUAAUAGAUCUUAGACCUUGCUUUUAAUGGAUUUAAUUAGGUUUUGGGCAUUUAAAUUAUACAACUGGAGACAGAAUUUAUAAAUAGAUAAGAUUCUAAUGUGAUUUUAAAAUAAUUUUGAACUUGAACUUGAACUUGAUGCAUUUAAUUAAUCCAGAAAGGUAAAUUUAUAAUUUCAACUUUUAAAUAAAACAUAUCCUUUGGAUUUUUUACAUAAACUAGAGGCAAUUGUACAAUAUUUACUUGACUAGUGGUAUAUAUCCCAAAUUUUUUAUCCUAAGAAAUGCCACAUCAUUUGGUUGAUGAGGAUAAUAUAAUUAAUUCACUUAGAUAUUAUAAAAAAUUAUCAACCAAUCAAUGAAUAACAUAUCAUUUUCAUUGGGAUGGAAUUUGAAAAAAAAAAUUAGGACGUCUAUCAUUACUUUAGUAAGAAAGCAUAUUAAGAUGGACUGACAUGUUUGGAUGCCCCAGCCUAAGAUGCAAGAGAUCAAUUUCUUUUGUUGUCUUGAAAUCCCUACUAUUUGACUCAACAACAUUGGCAACAUUUAACUCAUUACUACUAGAACAAAAAAGAUAUCAUAGACAAAGGAUUGCUAAUGCAAUUUAUUGACUCAUACUCUAAAGAUAGAGGUAACUCAACAGCACAUUCAAUCUUGCGCUACUCAUGCACAUUAGCUCAUAUAGCCUAUCUUUAGUCACUCCUUUCAUUAGGAUUUUCACUUGGCUAAAGCAAGUAGAUUUUUGAAGCACAACAUCAAUAUCAUUAUCACGGAACAAUUUUGAGACAUUAAUAAGGUUCUUAGUAAUGCUAGGCACAUACAACGAGCUGUUUAGUUUAAUCUGUUUGUAUGGAUCAUAAGUGAGCAAUAUAGAGUAUCCAAUAUGAGAAAUCAAAAGUUUAUCACCAUUUCCAACAGUAGCUCAUCAUUACCUUGAUAUUCUGAAUUAAAGCUCAUGCUUCCAAUAGCACUGGUUGCAUGAUUUGUAGCACCAUUGUCAAGGUACCAAGCUCUACUAUUCUCACCGUCAACUGCAACCACAUAUGCUCUUCUUGGAACUCUUCUUCUAUUUGGCUGUGGAACUGAUAUGAACCCUAUUAAGAACUAACAUGACCCUAACCAAUUUAGUCUCUAAGAUUGAAACCAAUUUUUUAUUUUUUUUAGAAGAGAUUGAAACCAAAUCUAAAAUUGAAUGGAACCGCGAUUUGAUCUCAAUGAAAGUACGAACCUUGGUAUGUGAUGACGCCACAAUCAGCUAUGGAUGAUCUUAUUGAUAAGUCAAGAGUUUGAACGCCACAGAAAUCCGAUAAAUUCAAAGGGUUAGUUUAAGAACCAAAGAGAAUUAGCUUUCUCAGCAAUUGCAUCAAAAUUGAUGCCUUUCUUAUUGGAUACGAGUACAUUAGAUAGGGUUGGUUUAUAAGAAUUUUAAGAAAUAAAUCCUAAACCAAAAUCAAAUCAGAAUCCUAAUUUAAAGCAAAUAAGGAAAGAAACUAAAUCAAACCAGAAUCCUUAUUGGCUUAAAUGCCUUGCAUCAAUUAAAAAUGGAAACAAGGCAAUUAAAAGAGAAAUAAUUGAUUCGUUUUGCCACUUGCCUACUCAAGAAAUGGGAAAGUAUCCUAAAAGGAAAGUAGUAUAUUUUCCAAACGAGAAAACAUCUGAUAAGGUAAAUAAUGUAUUUUCUAGCCAUAAUGUACAAACCAACUUGCUGAUUUUAUGGAAAUGAUUAUGUGGAAACUUAAAAAGCCUAAAUCACGUAUUUAGUGGUCUGAAUAUCAUGUGCGCUUUCUUCAACGGGCCUCCACGAAUUUGAUUGAGAAACAUCUGAUAAGGUAAAUAAUGUAUUUUCUAGCCAUAAUGUGCAAACCAACUUGCUGAUUUUAUGGAAAUGAUUAUGUGGAAACUUAAAAAGCCUGAAUCACGUAUUUAGUGGUCUGAAUAUCAUGUGCGCUUUCUUCAACGGGCCUCCACGAAUUUGAUUGAGCUCAAGUUGCUUAAAUCAACCCAUUAAGCGAUUUUUUGAAUUUUUUUGCACGAGCUCUUGUGAUGGGUCCAACAGGAACUUGAAUGGGAUAUGAAUAUACCUCAUCCCAUGUGCUUGUGACAGUUUUGUCCUCAAUAUCAUAUUUUUUCCUUCAAAGAAACAAUUUUGCUUCAUAUGGAAAAGGAAAUUCUUAUGUAGCCUUACAUGAUUUAUACAUAAACUCAUAAUAUUUGUGUAGUCCUUCAUGAACAUGUGAAAUAUACACUUAUAUAGUGAAUCCUUCAUGAACAAGAUGUUAGUGAAUAACAUCAUAAUUUUGGAAUAGUCCAUCAGGAACAUAUUUUGAAAGAAAAUCUUGAUUAUGUAUAGUGAGAUCCUUAGAGAUGCAUUCUUAAUUUUCUUUCAUUAUAUAUUAUAAUAUUCAUACUUCAGGAUGAAUAUUUUGAAUUUCAAGAAUAGAAAAUAUAUAAUAGCAAUUGAAUAUUAUAAUAUAAAAAAUCAAUCAAUGGAACAUUAAAUAAAUGUUGGAAUCCAAAUCUCAUAAAAUAUAUGUAAUCAUUAAUAAAGGAAGUAUUAGAACAAGAAUCAAUCGGUCCUUGAUCUUAGCCACUAACUUAGCAUAUUGUAAUAUUCAUUCUCCUUUAUAUUCUUUCCUUUUCUAUUAUUUGACCGUUUGGUACUUGCCUUAGAUGAUUCUAGUAUUUUUGUAUAUAAGGAUCUUGUACACAGCAACAAAUAUAUAUGAGCAUUUCCACAAUUCUUUACAUGGUACCAAAGAAAAUUUUGCUCAUUUAUGCUUUUCUCUUUGAAAAUCAUGUCUAGUAGUUUGAAUCCAAUAUCAGAAACAUCAAAUUCCCUCAUUACCGAUGCUUCUUCACCAUACUUUCUUCAUUCAUCUGAUCAUCCUGGAGCCAUUCUUGUAUCUAAUGUGCUAACGGGUGAUAAUUAUUCAACAUGGAAAAGAUCCAUGAAGAUGGCAUUAAAUGCCAAAAACAAAUUGGGUUUUAUUGAUGGAAGCAUACAAAAACCUUCAUCAACCUCACAAGAUUUAAAAACUUGGGAGCGAUGCAAUGACAUGGUCCUUUCAUGGAUGCUCAAUGGAAUAGAGAAAAAUCUUGCUAACAGCCUCAUUUAUUGUGAUACUCCACGCUCUCUUUGGCUUGGGUUGGAAGAACGUUUUUCACAAAGUAAUAAUCCACGGAUUUAUGAACUUAAGAGAGCCAUAUGCAAUCACCAGCAAGAGCAAAAAUCAUUAGUGAUUUAUUUUAAUACUUUGAAAUUUUAUUAGGAUGAAUUGUCCACAUUAACCACUAUUUCUUCAAAUGAAUUGCAGGGAUUACUAGAGACUGAAAAGGUGUUUCAAUUCCUAAGGGGUCUCAAUGAUUCAUAUUCUUCGGUACGAAGUCAAAUCUUAGCCAUGGAACCACUUCCAAAUGUUGGAAAAACAUAUUCAAUUAUUCAUCAGGAAGAACGUCAACGACUUCUCCAUGUUUCCAGUCAACCAUCCAUUGAAUCAACAGCCUUGACAGCCAAUAAUAAGACUCAAAUGACCGGCUGUCAAAAUCAUUCACAUCCUAGCCAUUUGCAUGGAGUACAAGAGACACAAGGACGGGGUAGAUCUUUCUGCGAUCAUUGCCAGAAAUAUGGGCAUAUAAAAGCCAAAUGUUACAAAAUUGUUGGCUACCCACCAAACUGGAAACAUUCAAAUCGAUCGCAUGUUGCUGCUCCUACAACCACAAAGCCACAACAACUAGAUGAUCAUCCCAUUCCAACAGACAAGAAUGCAUCAUCUCAGCCUACUAUCCAAAUUCCUGGUCUCACGGCUGAACAAUAUCAACAAUUAUUAUCUAUACUUUCAACAAGUGAGCAACCAUCUACUGCAAACUUAGCUGGUAAAAUCAUUCCUUUUUGCAAUUCUGCUAUUAACUCAUAUAAUAAUUCUUGGAUAAUUGAUAGUGGGGCAUCUGAUCACAUGACCCCUAAUAUUUCUUCCUUUAAAAAUUUUGUGCCCAUGUCUCAUGUCAAACCCGUGAGACUACCAAAUGGCACAACUGUUCCUACAACAAAAUGUGGAUCCAUUAAAUUAUCCUCCUCUUUGACUUUAGAUAAUGCCUUAUUGGUUCCUCAUUUUAAUUUUAAUCUAUUAUCUGUAAGCAAGCUAACCAAGGAUUUGAACUGUGCUGCUAUAUUUUUUUCCUUCAUUUUGUGUUUUUCAGGACCUUUCAACGAAGAAGCUGAUUGGAAAGGGUAAAGUUCGGGAUGGACUAUAUUAUUAUGAGCAUAUCAAUGGUCAUUCUUCCCUUCCUUCAGUAAUGAACGUUGCAAAGGAACCCAAUUCCAAUCUUUGGCAUUUGCGACUCGGUCACCCUUCUAAAGACCGAAUGCAGCGUUUGUCUUUUAUUUCUGAUAUUGCAUCAUUUAAUUCUUGUUGUGAAAUUUGUCAACUUUCAAAAAACACUAGAAGUUCAUUUCAAUUGAAUAAAAAUCGUUCUGAUAUGCCAUUUCAAUUAAUUUUUUGUGAUAUUUGGGGACCUCAUCGCACAUCUACAUAUACGGGAGCAUAUUAUUUUCUUACUAUUGUUGAUGACCAUACUCGUUGUACUUGGGUUUACCUCAUACGGCACAAGUUUGAAGCUUUUCAAUUAUUAAAAAACUUUUACUUCUUGAUCAAGACACAAUUUCACACACAAAUUAAAAAAAAAUUUUGCAUUAAUCAAGGAAGUGAAUUUUUAUCAAAUCAGAUGCAAUUUUUUUCAUGAGCAUGGCAUCUUGCAUGAACGCACUUGUGUUGAAACACCUCAACAAAAUGGGGUAGCAGAACGCAAGCAUCGACAUAUUUUAGAAGUUGCACGUGCAUUAUGUUUUCAAGCACAUUUACCUUUGUCUUUCUGGGGAGAUUGUGUUUUAGUUGCAACCCAUUUGAUUAAUCGUAUACCCACUCCUAAUCUUGGUGGUCAAUCUCCUUAUGAAAUGCUUUUUAAGACUAAACCUCACUAUGAUCGUCUUCGUGUCUUUGGCUGUCUUUGUUAUGCUCAUACNNNNNNNNNNNNNNNNNNNNNNNNNNNNNNNNNNNNNNNNNNNNNNNNNNNNNNNNNNNNNNNNNNNNNNNNNNNNNNNNNNNNNNNNNNNNNNNNNNNNNNNNNNNNNNNNNNNNNNNNNNNNNNNNNNNNNNNNNNNNNNNNNNNNNNNNNNNNNNNNNNNNNNNNNNNNNNNNNNNNNNNNNNNNNNNNNNNNNNNNNNNNNNNNNNNNNNNNNNNNNNNNNNNNNNNNNNNNNNNNNNNNNNNNNNNNNNNNNNNNNNNNNNNNNNNNNNNNNNNNNNNNNNNNNNNNNNNNNNNNNNNNNNNNNNNNNNNNNNNNNNNNNNNNNNNNNNNNNNNNNNNNNNNNNNNNNNNNNNNNNNNNNNNNNNNNNNNNNNNNNNNNNNNNNNNNNNNNNNNAUUCGAGUAAGAUUUAAUGAUGUAUGAUUCAAAAUUAUUGAAAUCGGACAUUUUAAACAAGAAAAAAAAUAAAAAAUCUUGUUCUCUUUUUUAAAUAAUAAAUUUCAUUUUGAUGGAUUUUUAAUAUUAAAUUAGACAUUUGCUAAAUUGGCUCAAAUAUAAUAGAUCUUAGACCUUGCUUUUAAUGGAUUUAAUUAGGUUUUGGGCAUUUAAAUUAUACAACUGGAGACAGAAUUUAUAAAUAGAUAAGAUUCUAAUGUGAUUUUAAAAUAAAUUUGAACUUGAACUUGAACUUGAUGCAUUUAAUUAAUCCAGAAAGGUAAAUUUAUAAUUUCAACUUUUAAAUAAAACAUAUCCUUUGGAUUUUUUACAUAAACUAGAGGCAAUUGUACAAUAUUUACUUGACUAGUGGUAUAUAUCCCAAAUUUUUUAUCCUAAGAAAUGCCACAUCAUUUGGUUGAUGAGGAUAAUAUAAUUAAUUCACGUAGAUAUUAUAAAAAAUUAUCAACCAAUCAAUGAAUAACAUAUCAUUUUCAUUGGGAUGGAAUUUGAAAAAAAAAAUUAGGACGUCUAUCAUUACUUUAGUAAGAAAGCAUAUUAAGAUGGACUGACAUGUUUGGAUGCCCCAGCCUAAGAUGCAAGAGAUCAAUUUCUUUUGUUGUCUUGAAAUCCCUACUAUUUGACUCAACAACAUUGGCAACAUUUAACUCAUUACUACUAGAACAAAAAGAUAUCAUAGACAAAGGAUUGCUAAUGCAAUUUAUUGACUCAUACUCUAAAGAUAGAGGUAACUCAACAACACAUUCAAUCUUGCGCUACUCAUGCACAAUAGCUCAUAUAGCCUAUCUUUAGUCACUCCUUUCACUAGGAUUUUCACUUGGCUAAAGCAAAUGGAUUUUUGAAGCACAACAUCAAUAUCAUUAUCACGGAACAAUUUUGAGACAUUAAUAAGGUUCUUAGUAAUGCUAGGCACAUACAACGAGCUGUUUAGUUUAAUCUGUUUGUAUGGAUCAUAAGUGAGCAAUAUAGAGUAUCCAAUAUGAGAAAUCAAAAGUUUAUCACCAUUUCCAACAGUAGCUCAUCAUUACCUUGAUAUUCUGAAUUAAAGCUCAUGCUUCCAAUAGCACUGGUUGCAUGAUUUGUAGCACCAUUGUCAAGGUACCAAGCUCUACUAUUCUCACCGUCAACUGCAACCACAUAUGCUCUUCUUGGAACUCUUCUUCUAUUUGGCUGUGGAACUGAUAUGAACCCUAUUAAGAACUAACAUGACCCUAACCAAUUUAGUCUCUAAGAUUGAAACCAAUUUUUUAUUUUUUUUAGAAGAGAUUGAAACCAAAUCUAAAAUUGAAUGGAAUCGCGAUUUGAUCUCAAUGAAAGUACGAACCGUGGUAUGUGAUGACACCACAAUCAACUAUGGAUGAUCUGAUUGAUAAGUCAAGAGUUUGAAUGCCACAGAAAUUCGAUAAGUUCAAAGGGUUAGUUUAAGAACCAAAGAGAAUUAGCUUUCUCAGCAAUUGCAUCAAAAUUGAUGCCUUUCUUAUUGGAUACGAGUACAUUAGAUAGGGUUGGUUUAUAAGAAUUUUAAGAAAUAAAUCCUAAACCAAAAUCAAAUCAGAAUCCUAAUUUAAAGCAAAUAAGGAAAGAAACUAAAUCAAACCAGAAUCCUUAUUGGCUUAAAUGCCUUGCAUCAAUUAAAAAUGGAAACAAGGCAAUUAAAAGAGAAAUAAUUGAUUCGUUUUGCCACUUGCCUACUCAAGAAAUGGGAAAGUAUCCUAAAAGGAAAGUAGUAUAUUUUCCAAACGAGAAAACAUCUGAUAAGGUAAAUAAUGUAUUUUCUAGCCAUAAUGUGCAAACCAACUUGCUGAUUUUAUGGAAAUGAUUAUGUGGAAACUUAAAAAGCCUAAAUCACGUAUUUAGUGGUCUGAAUAUCAUGUGCGCUUUCUUCAACGGGCCUCCACGAAUUUGAUUGAGAUCAAGUUGCUUAAAUCAACCCAUUAAGCGAUUUUUUGAAUUUUUUUGCACGAGCUCUUGUGAUGGGUCCAACAGGAACUUGAAUGGGAUAUGAAUAUACCUCAUCCCAUGUGCUUGUGACAGUUUUGUCCUCAAUAUCAUAUUUUUUCCUUCAAAGAAACAAUUUUGCUUCAUAUGGAAAAGGAAAUUCUUAUGUAGCCUUACAUGAUUUAUACAUAAACUCAUAAUAUUUGUGUAGUCCUUCAUGAACAUGUGAAAUAUACACUUAUAUAGUGAAUCCUUCAUGAACAAGAUGUUAGUGAAUAACAUCAUAAUUUUGGAAUAGUCCAUCAGGAACAUAUUUUGAAAGAAAAUCUUGAUUAUGUAUAGUGAGAUCCUUAGAGAUGCAUUCUUAAUUUUCUUUCAUUAUAUAUUAUAAUAUUCAUACUUCAGGAUGAAUAUUUUGAAUUUCAAGAAUAGAAAAUAUAUAAUAGCAAUUGAAUAUUAUAAUAAGAAAAAUCAAACAAUAACAAAAUCAAUCAAUGGAACAUUAAAUAAAUGUUGGAAUCCAAAUCUCAUAAAAUAUAUGUAAUCAUUAAUAAAGGAAGUAAGGAACAACUUCAUAGAUCCAUUAUUCUUAAAUUAUAAAAAUACAUAAACAACAUAUGUAUAUGAUUUUAGACAAAUCAAGAUAGUUUAAUUCAUACCUUUGUGAGUGAGAUCAAAGGAGGGAUAUUAUCAUAUUACCUCUUAAUGGCUAGAGACUCGUGUUGAUAAUGUGUUAUAUCAUUUAUCAAUUGGGAGUGCAACAAUAUAGCAAGAGAAAUAAAGAAGGCAAAUAAGAGACACAAUGUUUAGAGGGGAAUUUUAUUCAAUCUCAAAUAUAUACAAAUAGGAAGCAAAGGCCUGCUUUUAUAGUGAUACAAGCAUAAAGUAGUAAGCAAUACCUCGUAAUUAUAAGAGAUGACAAUCCUCAGAUUAGGGAGAUAAUGAGAGUUAUAAAAGAUGGAAAGUUACUUGUGAGGAGAUCGAAGAUUGCUUUGAUGAACAUCCACAUAUAUCAUAAUAAUUUCAUAACAUACAUUUACUUUUAAUUUAUUUUUAAGGUUAAUUGGUUAAUAAGCUUCUUGUGUAGUAGAUUGAUUAAUGUGCCCAAGAAUAUUGUUGGAUGCUAUUAUUUUAAAGGCAAAGCAAAAUAAGGCAUAAGUGUCACAUGUUCAAUAGCAGGGAUGUUUUGAGGAAUUUCUUAAAAUAAAAAGACUAAGUAGAUCUUUAGCCCAAAAUAUAGGGAUUAAGCAAGCAUUCAUCCUAUAGAAAAGCAAAGUAAACUAAUGUAACCAUGAUUGAAUAUAAAGUUAACUCUUCUAUGGCAUUAUAGAGAACAAAAGAAGGAAAAAUAUUAUUCAAAUUCAAGAUAAGAAGGUAGUUUAUUAACUGUCUAAAGUUCAAAAUUUUAUUAAUUUCAGACCUUUUUUAAAAUUUACUUAUUUGUUUUUUUGUAACUUAUGUUUGAUUUUUAGAUAUUUAUAUCUGAAUAGAAAAAGUAAGAUUUUUUGACUUUUAUCUAAAUGGAAAAAGAUCUGAAUGAUUAGUAAAUAUUACAUUCCAUAAAUAUCUCUAUAAAAUAACUUAUUUCCUAAUCUAUAAAAUAGAAUCCCCUUUUUUUAUUUUGAUUUACAAGGACGUAAAUGUCAAAGAACUAAGUUUAAGAUGUUUUUUAUUAUAAAAACAAAUAAGAUGCCACUUACAUUCAUAUAUUAAAAAAUGAAAAACAAACAUGUGAUUCAAAUUUUCGUAUUCAAACCCAUUCAAACUUGAAAAAAAUUUAGACACAUUCAAAUUUCAGACAAAAAAGACAAAUACUAGUUCAAUUUUUUUUUUCGCUUUGCAACUGCCCACUGCUAACCAAAUAAAAAAAGAUUUUCAAUUUGGAAUUAUGUUAUCCAACAUAUGAAGACAAUUCUUCCUUUGAACGAAUCUUUAUGAUUGUUUUCUGAACGAAUAUUGCUCUAAAUUAAAAUAUUUUAGAACAAAAAAUAGCUGAUUGCCAAAUGUACAAUAGGUACAAUUUUCUUUUUUCAGCUCUCUUUUGGAAGAGAACUAUGGCGUCCUUUAUAAUUAUUAUUUCUUGAAAGAAUACAAACUUAAAUUACUGGCUUUUUAUUUGUAAAAUCAUAUAAAAUAGACUCUUUUAAGGAAAAUAUCUCAUACCGGAGAUAAUAAUUUGUGGACUAAGAAUAUAAACUUAAAACAGCACUACUAUCAAAUUAUCUUUAAAAGAGUUCCUUGAUCAAAAGAAUUUAUUUAUCAUUUUUCACAGUUUAAAAAAAUAAAAAAAUUACAUAGAAAUAAUUGGAAGAUUUCCUAAAUAAGCAUCAAAUAAAUGCUAAUUUAUUGCAUGAUACUUGGAAGAAACCAUAAAUAAAAAUUAAGGAUUUAUAAUUUUAAAGACAAGUUGGGAGUUUAAAUUUUCUUGCCAUCUUGAGGGAGAAUAAUAAGACCGAAAUAAUAUUGAUGAAACAAAAUAAUCAAUCAAAUAUUUGAUUGUCUUCAUCUUAAUCAGUGAUCAAGAAAAAUUGGUUGUUAAUUAACAUAAAAAUUGAUUGACUCAAUAUUUACUAAUAGAUCAUUAUUCCCAAAUUAUGUUAAUUAUAUAUAUUUCAAAUACUUAUAAGAAUUGAGUUUGCUUACGGUUUAUUAAAUAUAGUCUCUUAAAAGUUUACAUGUGGCCCAUACAAAGCUAACAUUACUCUGUUAUAGCAUUUCGGGCAUCCAACAAGAUCCUCUUCUUCACUUAUUGUUAGAACUAGAGCUAACAAAUUAAUUACUUAAUCACGGCUAAGUUUGGAAUUAAAAUCAAACUAAAUUAUCUAAUUGGUUGAGUUCGGUUUCCGUUUGUAUGGGCCACAUGAAAUUUUUUCUCUCAUCUUCUCUCGUCUGCUAAUCGCAUCUUUCUCUCUUUCGACUCUCUAAUUUCUCUCUUGGAUUUGGUUACCAAGCACAUAAAAUUGAAGCCACCAUCUCGUUCAUAACAAACAACUAGUCGGAUCCAUCAAACUGUUGCUGUCAUCUUGAGCCAUUCAAGUAACUUGAACACAUCAUCUUCUCGUAAAUUCUCUUUCAUUUUCAAAUUAAAGACAAGGUAAGGAUGUAAUCUUGACUUUUGUGUUUUUUGUGAUGACUACAGAAAAUGCUAUAUGGAACAAUUAGGGAUUUAUGUGCUUCUUCUUCUUCUUCUUCUUCUUCUUCUUCUUAUUAUUAUUAUUAUUAUUAUUAUUUUCCCUAUAUUAAACAAGUAGUUAUUUAUGAAUUUUGAGUGAAAAAUUCACUCGGCUGUGGCAGAUUUUGUGCCUUACAAGUAGUCGAUUUCACGCAUUCAUCAUCACCAUUACUAUGUUCAUUAUUAUUUGCUAUUGUUUUUUACUUUUUCUGCUGUUAUUGAUUAAAUUGACAUUAAAUUUAUGUCUUGUCCAUUACAAGACUUAACAAUAUAAUCCAGUUGUAACAUGGACACUACAGAUGAUACAAGUGCGCAAGACCUAGUCAGAGAGCGUAGUACACUUUUUGUAAGUAUAAACUAAUUGAUAUUUUUCGAGUUGUUAUGUUAGCAACCAUUUUAAAAACACUUUUGUUUUCGAAUUUUGGUUACGUUGAAGUGAAGGGGAUUGAGUUGCCAUUAAAAAUUAAAGUAUUUUGGUCUUUAUAAACAAAGCGCUUUUGUGGAAUAGAUCUAAGAAGAUGCUAAUCUUCUUAAUAAAUUUUUUUUUAAAAAAAUUCUAUUACUCUUGGUGCAACAAAUUUCCUAGUCCCAAAACCUUGUCAUAGAAAAAAAAAGAAAAAAAAAAAGAAAACAGAAAAAGAGUGAAAAUCUCUUCGGUCAACCAAAUUACUCAAAUUCGUAAAAUAAUAUAAUACUUGAACCUUAAAAAUAAAAGCUCUAUAUAUUACUAUAUAAACAGUGAUAAACACAAUUACUAUCUAAGCCCACUCGAAAUUUUAUCAUACAGUCGUAUAUUUAUCACCUUAUGUACGUAUAUUGUAAUUUGGAUACGUUAUUUAAUUGUAUUUAUAUUGUGUAUAUUUACCACAUUAUGUACGUAUAUAAAAUAUAAUGUAUAUUGUGUAAACUCUACUAUAAACAAUUAAUAUUUGGUCAUAUUUCUUUUGGCAAAUAACCCCCUGGGAUUUCUUCUUUAUCGCAACAUGAAAUUGAAGAUAUUUAAAAGGUUUUGAAACGUUAUUUUUAUUGAAAGGAGUUGCCAUUUUUAAUUUUGGUUGCAAAUAAUAAUUCCUUGGUGGUUACAAUAUUUUUAAAUAUCCCCAUUAAGGCUGUAGGGGCUACAAAUCUUCAUUCUAGAUCUGUAACAUAUGACUAUGAAUUAUAUAUAAAUGAGCUAUUUUUCUUUAUCUUUGGAUAUAUUAUAUACUCUAUUGUUUUCUCCGAAACUCUACGAUAAACAAUUAAUACUUUUCUUUGCAACUUCGACAUUCAAAGACUUGGUUUAUUCUUCAGGUAAAUCGUGCUUAGGAAGAAGAGCGGCAUGAAGAUAUUUGGGUUGUAUUUUGGAGCUGCGAAAUACGGACAAUAUCCGCCCGUGGGGAGGGCUCUUUGACAUUUGGGUUGUAUUUUGGACAUUUGUGAUUCUCCAUAGUACUGGCCGGAUUCUUCAACAAUAUCCUAAUACUUCUAAAGUCAAAGACAUGCUUCUCUUUCGUUGUAUAUAUUUGCAUCUCUAGGUGAAAUUUGUGAUUGGCUGAGGACAUUUUUAUUUUUAUAGAAUGGAAGAACAGGGACUUUACGUGGAGAAAAAAUUAAUUGUAGUGGGUAUUUUCCAUAGAUAUAGCUAUACAUGUAGCAUGGCGAGCUGAUGACGGGAGUUCAUUUGACGGAAUUAGCCCUUCAAUGGGUUGUCGUUAUAAACCAGAUGGCCAAUAUAAUCAUGCAGCCUAUUUCAGCAAUCUUGUUUAUUAUGAUAUUAAUUUUUAAAAUAUAGUUACAAUCUAGACACAUAAUUUGUGGACCCAUUUUAUCUACCACGUGAUUGGUAUUAUUACUUUAUUUGUCUUUUUAUGUACUAUUUUUGUUCUGUGGACCCAUUCAUGCACCCACGUUUCGAACAUGCAAUUUAACCGUAGCCGUUAAUCUUACCUAAUCAUAUGUGCGAUAAAAAUCUGCCGUCGAUCCGUUAUAUGUAAGUACCAACCAUGCGUUAUUGUUCGAUUUGCUACGUUACAAAAUCUUAUUGAUUAUAGACAUUGUAUAUUUUAAGAAUUUGUUCAGAAAAUAUUACGAUCUAUUGUCAUUAUGAAAUGCCCAUUUCACUGAACUAUCUUUGAUUAUAAAUUUUUUUUAGCAAUUCGAAGUGAAAUGAUAUUUUGAAGACUCAAUUAGACAUUUAGACAGGGCUGCAGUUCUGGCCUCAUUUUGUCCUGAAGCUCAGCCAUGAUCCUGCCAAAGUUUUGGAGCCAUUCUAGCCACAUUUUAUCUUACUAUUAUGCAUCACAUUUACUUUUGCGAUCUUGGAGACUGCGACUGGGUCAAACAUAUCCUCAAGCUCCGCUUUAACCUUACGAAAUUUGUGGACCCAUUUUACCUUCACGUGAUUGGUAUUACUACUUUUGUGGACAAGGCUACGUUGCAGUUGCAGACUCAGCUGAGUACCAACAGCUUUUCCUCUCUCCUGCAACGCGUGGAUGCUCCUUGUUUGUCUUCUCAUCUGCAAUUAUUUUCUCUGUGGACCCAUUCAUGCACCCACGUCUCGAAUAUGCAAUUUAACCGUAGCCGUUAAUCAUACCUAACUAUAUGUACGAUAAAAAUUCCGCCGUCGAUCCGCUAUAUGUAAGUACCAAUCAGGCAUUAGUUUUCUAAUAAGACUUUAUUUCUUUUAUUAGCUCAUAUUCAUCCAUGUGUUUAUCAUUCCUAGCUAAUUCGAUUAUUUAAAAUAACAAUGAUCCAUCAAUAAUUUUAUUCUUCGACCGGUUAAAAUGAUUUUUUAUUAUUAUUAUUUUGAUGGGGAGGUCUCAAUAAAGUUGAAAUAAAUAAAUUUUGGUCUUUGUCUCACACUUACAUAAACAAAGGAAAAAAAUUAUAAAAUUAUAAAAAAAAUUAAGAACCAUUGUCAAUUAUGUAAAUUUAAAUAUUUAAACAAUCAAAAUUUCAUCACCUUGAGUUGAGAUUUUUUUUCUUUCUUUUAUGUGUUAGAAAAUAAACUUUUGAUGGAAUAAUUUUUUUAAAAAAAUUUUGGGAACUAGAAAAUCAUUUUUUUUAAAAUGACAUUGGGAAUUACAAAUUUUUAUUUCCAAGACUAUCUUUCAUUGGCUAUGUCCAAGACGAAAAAGACUAAAAGGAACUUUUGUAAUUUCCAAAAUUAUUGUAGCAAUGAGACGCGAAAGAAAAGACUGCACUUGAUAAUUGCGGUUAGUUUUCCCCUGUAAUCAAUUAUUGGCAUCGGAUGGGAACCACGUAAUUCGUGUAAUUGAUAUAAAGCAAUCUUUGAUGAAUCGUGACCCACUUAACAAGGAUCAAUACAUUAAGAAAUGAAUUCCACUCACCAAUUGAGAUACUAGUAUUAAUAUUAUAGGGAUUUAUACUGCUCUAAAGACAAUGUUACAGAGAAGCUGCUAUUACUCUCAUGACUCUGAAUCUAAGUGUUCAAUACGAGUCUAAAGACCUAAUUGCUCUGAUACAAGAAAUCAGUCCAGUCUUGUAUUACUAAACUUAUUAGCAGAUUUUUAGCUCCCAGCUAGCACAUGGGUAGCACCUGUAACGCUGCAUCAAUUAAUGAAAUUGAUACAAGAAAUUCUUUUAAUUUCUUGAAUACCGAAAAAGUAAAAUUACCAUUCAAAAUGGAGGAUAAAUCUUUAAAACUGUCUUAAACGCAUCUUAUUUGUUCAUACACACACAAGUUAUUAAACAACCAUGAAUGUUGAACUAAAGUGUCAAACUUAGUUUCUGGUUGUCAAAUUUUCUUCCUAUUGGACAUCUAAAUCGUUUUGCAGUCAGUAACAUAGUCAGAAAAUCAAAUUAGUGGGGUAGAAUGACUGACAUAAAAUAUAAAGAAAAAAAUUUACUGUGUUCUUUAUCUAUUUUUCUAAUAUUUUUAGCAUUCCUCCUUACAUAUGUCUAAUAGCAUGUUUAAUUUGAAGAAAUAAAAUAAGAAGAGAUGUGAGAUAAGGAGAAUGGGAACAAUAAAUAAGGAAAAAAGAGAUAUAAUUAUAUAUUAAAUUAAAUAAUGAAAUUGAGAAUGAUCCUAUUUUUUCCAUCAUUUUUUGAUCACUUACUCUAAGGAACCAGAACUUUAAGGAAAGACAGACAAAUCAUAAAGAUUGAAGAGCAUGAAUUUUUGUUCUCCUUUUUAAAUAAAAAAUUUCAUUUCAAUAGAUUUUUAUUAUUAAAUUAGUCUUUCCCUAAAUCAGAUCAAAUAUAUUAGAUCUUAAAUCUUGUUUUUAAUGAAAUUAAUUACGUUUUGGGCAUUUAAAUUAUGAAAUUGGACAAGAUUUGUGUGUGAUUUUAAAAUAAAUAUGAACUUGAAUUUGAUGCAUUUAAUUAAUCCAAAGAGGCAAAUUUAUAAUUUCAAUUUCUAAAUAAAACAUAUCAUUUGAAUUUUAUCAGUGGUUUCUAAUAAUAACUGCCAGGUCAUUAUAAUAAUUAUAAAUGUAAUAUUUGUUUUUAUAAUUAUACAGUUAUGAUCAAUGCUAUGCCGUAGUGCCGUUCCAACAUAGUCACGCCGUUGAUUUUUUAGACAGACCAAAGGCAACUGCUCCCACUAUUCUCUUAGCGGCUCUGCCACUAAUCGCAUUCUGGCCACAUUUUAUCUUUGCUAUUAUGCACCGUAUUUAUUGUUGCAAUCUGCGAGACUGCUACUAGGAUAUGCAAUUGCUCAAGCUCGCUUUAAUCUUACUUAAUUUGUGGACCCAUUCUGCCUUACACGUGAUUGGCAUCACUACUUUGUUUGUCGUUCUUCUAGCUGUAGUAUUAUUUAUUUUGUGGACCCACUCGUGCACCCACGUUUCGAAUACACAAUUUAACCGCAGCCGCUAAUCUUACCUAAUUUAUGUACGAUAAAAGCUCCGCCGUCGAUCCGUUAUACCUAAGUACCAACCAUGCAUUAUUAUUUGAUUAGCUACGUCACAAAGUCUUUGUUCGAAUAGUUAUCAAAGUUUGUUUGUGUGACUCAUGGAAUCUUUGUUGGCCAAUAAAAGGAUGCAUUUUGCUGUUUAAUAAGGCAAGCUCGAAAUAAAUCAAAUCUUAGUCAUACAAAAAUUCAAAUGAUAUGAGCCAUGAUCUCUUGCCAAGCUUCAGACAAGUUAAAUUAUAAGAGGAUCUUGAUAGGUUAAAUUAUGAACACACAUUUACGCUGUGUACCCAUUCAUGCAUCCCCGUUUCGAUUUUGCAAUUUAACGUAGCCGUUAAUCUUACCUAACCAUCUGUACGAGAAAAACUCCGCCAUUUGGCAGCCAAAGACUUGGUGCAGCCGGUUAACAAACAGUUGCACCAUAUUUUUUAAAAAAUAUAUAUUAAAAAUACAAUAUAAAAAUGAAAAAAUUAAAUAAAAUGUCAAAAAUAUUUUUUUAUAAUAUAAUUAAUAGCAAAAGAUAAAGAAAUUAAAUAAUAUAAUACAAACCCUAUAAUACAAUAUAAUAUAAUUAAAUAAAAUGGCAAAAAAUAAAGAAAUUGAAGUUGCGAACUUUACGUGAUAAAUUGCAUAUUUCGCGUGAAGUGUUACAAGUUUCAAGUUUAACGUCCGUUGCUGCAUGUCGGACGUCACGGUUGCAUGUUUGACGUAAUCUGUUGCAUGUCUUGAAUAAAGCCAAAAAAAGAAUAUUCCUAAAUAUUCUUGUCCGUUUCAUGUUUGACGUCGAAGUUGCGAACUUUACGUGAUAAAUUGCAUAUUUCGAGUGAAGUGCUGCAAGUUUUAUGUUUAACGUCAGUUCUUGCAUGUUCGACGGUUGGAUUUCAUGUUUGACGUACGAUAUUGCAUGUUUUGAAUAAAGCCAAAAUAAAGAAUAUUCCUGAAUAUUCUCGUCCGUUUCAUGUUUGACGUCGAAGCUGCAAAUUUUACGUGAUAAGUUGUAUAUUUCACGUGCAGUGUUGCAGGUUGCAUGUUUUACGUCCGUUGUUGCAUGUCAGCCGUCCCGUUUGCAUGUUUGACGUUAGAUAUUGCAUGUUUUGGAUAAAGCCAAAAUAAAGAAUAUUCUUGAAUAUUCUGGUUCGUUUCAUGUUUGACGCCAAAGUUGUAAACUUUACGUGAUAAGUUGUAUAUUUCACGUGCAGUGUUGCAGGUUGCAUGUUUAACGUCCGUUGUUGCAUGUCCGACGUCCCGCUUGCAUGUUUAACGUUAGAUAUUGCAUGUUUUGGAUAAAGCCAAAAUAAAGAAUAUUCUCGAAUAUUCUCGUCCGUUUCAUGUUUGACGUCGAAGUUGCAAACCUUACGUGAUAAGUUGUAUAUUUCACGUGCAGUGUUGCAGGUUGCAUGUUUAACGUCCGUUGUUGCAUGUCUGACGUCCGAUGUUGCAUGUUUGGGAUAAAGCAAAAAUAAAGAAUAUUCUCGAAUAUUCUCGUCUGUUUCAUGUUUGACGUCGAAGUUGUAAACUUUAAGUGAUAAGUUGUAUAUUUCACGUACAGUGUUGCAGGUUGCAUGUUUAACAUCCGUUGUUGCAUGUUUGACGUCCAGCUUGCAUGGUUGACGUUAGAUGUUGCAUGUUUUACAUAAAGCCAAAAGAAAGAAUAUUCUCGAAUAUUCUCAUCCAUUUCAUGUUUGACGUCAAAGUUGCAUACUUUACGUGAUAAAUUGCAUAUUUAACGUGACUUCUUGUGGGUUUCAUGUUUUACGUCUAUUGUUGCAUGUUGGACGUCGGGGUUGCAUGUUUGACGUUAGAUGUUGCAUGUCUUGAAUAAAGCCAAAAUAAAUAAUAUUCCUGAAUAUUCUCGCUUGUUUUAUGUUUGACAUCAAAGUUGCAUACUUUACGUGAUAUGUUGCAUGUUUGACGUAAAAUAUUAUAGGUUUCAUGUUUAACGUCAGUUGUUGCAUGUUGGAUAUCAGGGUUGCAUGUUUGACGACUAAUGUCACAUGUCUUAAAUAAAGUAAAAAUUUUAAAAAUUUCCCGCCCGUUUCAUUCACACACACCUUUCCCAAAAUUUUAAAAUUUAAAAUGGCGGUUCACCAUUACCUGGAUGUCGGUUCGCCGUGUUUGUCUAGUAACUUUGCAAUUGCUAUUAGUUAACCUUUGCCCUUAACGGAUCUUUAUCUGCAAUCAUAUACCUCUCUGGAUGAUAUUGGUUCACCAUUAUCUAAAAAAAAGUUCACCGUUCUCUUCCAGAAUCGAAUAAGCAAAUACACUUCUUUCUGGAAGAUAUCGGCUAACCGUUAUCAAAUUAACGAUUCAUUGUUAUCUUGUACAAUUAAAUUAACAUGUUUCUGGAAACUGUCGGUUAACUGUUAGCUCAAUAAUGGUUCAUGUCACUGUCCAGAAUUUUAAACACUUUAAAACGGUGUACUAUUUAAAUAUUAAUUAAGAUAAUAUAUUAAUUAAAAAAUUAUGAAAAAAAUACAGUUAAUAGUAACAAAAAUAGAAUUUUAUAAAUUAUAAAUUUGUAAAACAUAAUAGAAAAUAAACAAAAUACUUUGCUAUGGAAUUGGAAUUAUCAAAUCUCUUGCGUUUUAAAAUAUUCAAAGCUCUUGUAAUAUUAUAGAGUUAUAUAUAUAGAGACAUGCGUGCGUGCGUGCAUACAUACACAUGAAUAUUUUGAUCUUAUGUUUGUGGUGAAACCCCAUUAAUUACUCAUUAGAUUCAUGUUAUUUUACUAAACUAGAUUUUAUUAAUAAAGAUACAUUAAAUUGAAUUAAAUUCAACUUAUACCCAAUAAUUAUAUUUGGGAAUUUAUCUAACUUACUAAUUUUUAUUUAACUCAUACACAUUAUAAAUGUGUUCAUUAAAUUACACAUAUAAAUUUAAUUGUCUAACUAUUUUUUACAUGAUUGAUAAAAUGAUGGCUUUAAAAAGAACUUGUAAUUUGAAAAAAAAAUCCAAUUAAUUAUAAUAAAAUUACAUAUCUAUCCAAUUUUUUCCUUAUUUUAGUCUAAUAAUAGUUUGAAAAAGAAUUUGAUAAUUCAAGUGAAAAUCACUAUUCUUAUUUGUUGCAUAAUAAUAUUUUUUAGGUGUAUUUUGUUUGAUUUUUUUUAAACAAACUAAUCAUGGUGGAUAUUUUAAAUUACUGAGUCACAAAAAUUCUAAGCUCAAUUGAAAUUUACAAUCGUUUAUCAAUGAAAAAAUGCUAGCAAAACAAAAAAAUAUUGAGGGAUAAAAAGAAAAUAUGGUAGAAAGAAAAAGGCAACAUCACUAUGAUCAUUGUUAUAAGAAAAAUAAAGCGAAAAUCUUCCCAGGGUAAAUCCAUAUGCUAAACAUCCAAAAUUGACGCCGUAGAAUUUCAAUAUCACCAAUAACACCCCCCAAACCUAAAGAUUGCAACAAAUUGAUGGCACAUUUGAGGGCUUAGAACCUAGUAUAUCUUAAAUCAUUUUGGAUUAAAUUAUAUCACAAUUUUUUCAUUUUUUUUAAUUGUGUGAAAAAAAACUACAGUACACUUAUUUCAAAAGAAAUUUGUUAAUGAAAAACAAAAUAAUGAAAAUCAAGAGCACUCAUUUAUAAGAGUAGGCUAUAAAAAGAAAAAAAAAAUUAUUAUAAGCAUAAUCUCCCAAAAAAUAAAAGCAUCGUCAAAUUGAGUUACAAACUAAUUACAAUUUCAUUCGUAUUCGUAAACCAAGAGGUUGCGCAACAUCAAAAAGUUUCCAGUAAAACACUUAUGCCAGAUAAUUUAUAGAACCAAGCAAUAUCCGGUUGAAUUCUCCCCUGCAAAUAAUUAAAAAUUUCAAGUUUAAUUGAUAAGAUAAAAAUAGCCGUUAAUCAUAAUAAGAAGCAACAGCAAAUCACAAUAAGAAGCAACAACAAAUUACACUAAAAAAUAGCAGGAAAAAAGCACCAAAACAACAAAUAUAACCAAGAAACAACAAUAAAAAAAUGCCCAAAAACAGCAGAAAAAGAUGCCCAAAACAGCAAUAAAAAUUACCCUAAAACAACAGUGAAAAAUGCCUAAAAACAACAUAAAUAAAUCCAAAACAAAAGUGAAAAAAUUGCCUAGAAACAAUAGACAAAAGCCCAAAACAACUAGAAGACUACCUAAAACCAGCAGAAAAAAUCUAAGAUAGUAGCAAAAUCUUCCACUGGUAAAGAAAGAUAUGAAAGAAAAGAAAUAAAACUCAUAAAGAGUUAAAGGUAACAUAAUGAAGGCUCAAAUCUGAAGCUCCAUAUGUAAGAACAAACAUCCCUAUACAAACACCCCUAUGCAUGUAAUAGUCAUAUAAAACAUAAUUACAAUUACAGUCCAUCCAGCAACUGUUUGCUUGUUUCAUUAUAAAUGUCUGCAAUAGUCAUAUAAAACAUAAUUAAACACUUAAGCAGAACCCAGAAGAUAAAGUACAAAAAGCAUGGUAAAAGACAUAAAUGUCACAGCGGAAUCCAGAGAGUAAUAUAUCAAAGAGUCCAGCUCAAUCCAACCUCCAUAAAUUUAAAUAUGAUGGUGAAAGGAUCAUAAUUCAAACACACUCCAAAGAGAUGUAAUUUACAUUAGAUAACACAGUUUUUCAUAUUCUGAUUAAGCACAUGGCAAGUUAAGAAUAUAUUUACUUUUGAAAUUAGGAAAAUUACCACACAGUGAAUUCAGGCACACCAAUCAGAGCAGCUAUUGAUCAAGCAAUACUAAAUUGCACCUCAUUAUUUGAAAAUUUACAAGAAUUGCAUAUUUUAAAGGUCUACAUGACCAAAUACAAAGGUUGCACAAUACCUUGAACUCGUUUUAUAAAAGGAUAACUGGCUGCUCCACCCUUUUUGGCAAGGCUGAGUUUAUUUCAAAGUGCCAACAUCAACAAGGUUUUGCCCACUAAUAGCCAGAGAACUCUGACUAAAUUGCAAUGAUACAUAAUCAAUUGAUGACUGAAGUGUGGAUAGAACUGGCACCUCAUCAGGUGGGACAUAUUUGAGAAUCAAUACAGAAAUAUAUAUAGAAAAAAGUGAUAAGAGAAAUAUAAAUACAAUUGAAAGGAACAAAUGGAUACCUCCUUGAUUCCCACACACAAGAGUCCAGUAACAAAAAGUACAAUAAUUGCAGCACAGGGAUCAACAAUAAUGUCAAGCCCAGGAAUUUCUUGAUGAGCCAAAAAGAAAGGAAGAAUGCACAACCUAUAAUCAUUAAUAACAACAACAUAAGAACAUAAACGUUUAAAUUGCAUAGGCAAUUGUAGACCUCCAUCAUAAAAUAUAUGAAUUCAAAUCAAUACAAAGAUGAUUAGUUGUCAAAAAGGUAACUCAUAGAAAAUAAGGGAAAGGAAAAAGUAAACAAGCUAAAUGAACAAACAAUACAAUUAAACCAUUCCAAUUUAGUUGAUAGUGCAAAACACAUAUGACUCAAUAGUAACAACUAAAGUAAAUAAAUAUACAAUCAAAGCUCGAUAAAAUUCACCAGACCAGAUUCGGGUAUAUGCCACGAGGAACAGCAGACCCGCCAAUUGUGUACUCAAGUAUCAGAGCUAGCCAAUCAACCACCUAACACUGCCAAAAUACAACAUCAACUAAGUUAAAUCAAUUUAUUAGACCAAAACAUUAAUAACGAUUACUAUGCCCCAGCUAAUCACUAGUUUAUCCCACUUUAGAAACAAGAUCCAAUUAUAUGAAUCAAUAAACUACAUCUCUAAGAAAUGACUAUUACGAGUUAUACCAGUAUUAAAGGUAACAAGGACUUACCCUUCUCCAACACAUAUGUAUGAAUAAUGAUAGGCACUCCCAGCAGAUGGCCAACGACUUGCAAGCUCAGCAUAGCAAAAGGCUGAAAAAGCAGAAGCUAUUCCAGCUAUAAGGAAACGAAAGGGUGAGUGCCGGUCCUGAAUGCUCUCUAGCAACUGUUCCAACAAGAAUAUAUGCUCCAGCCCCAAGUGUUGAGUCAACACCUAACCAGAGUUUGUACAAGAAAUAAAUAGUAAGAUCCAUCUUAAAAAAGAAAUUCCGGAAUUUAUUAUAUCACUGCCUAAUAAAGAAAUAUUGAUUAUAUGAACUGCAAUCAAAAACGAAAAUUUUUAGAGCAAAACCUAUCACAAUAAAUAAGCAACUAAUCCAAGCUCCAAGACCAUAGUCUACCCAAAACACUUAGCCAUUUAAAGAGAGGGGAGGGGGAAAGCCUAAUAAUCACACACACCCAUCAUGAAAUCUUGAGUUUCCUGACGAGAAUCUAACAAAAUGCUCAAGAACACUUAAAGCCAUAGAAAAAAAAAUAUAAAAUUAAAUUCAAGAUCUGUUUCAUAAGAAUUUAACCAAAAAUCCAAAUUCUUAGAUAUUCAAUAUGGAAAGCAAAAACCCAUAUUCUUAAAAAUUAGAAAUUUAACCAAAAUAAAAAAGAUUUAGAAAGAAAAAUAUCUUUUGUUCAUUACGAGUCAUCUUCCCAUUGAGCUCAUGUAGGAUUUUGAGAGAGAGAGACCAAAUUUGAAAAAUUAGUGCUUUCAGAGAGAAAUGCAAAUUCCAAAAAUAAGAAAUAAGACAAAAUAAAAUAUAAAAAAAAAUACCUUUUAUUCAUUCGGCGUUGCUCCCCAGCGAGCUAAUGUACGGCUUCAGGAGAGAAAGAUCAAGUUUGAAAAGUUAGGGCUUUGAAGGAGAAAGCCAAAUUUUAAAAAUUAAAAAUUUAAUAAAAAAGAAUACCUUUAUUCAUUCUGAUUCAUGCCUCCCACUGAGCAAUGUAGGGCCUGAAGAGAGAUAUCAAAUUUGAGAAUGAAAAAAUUAGAGAUAUCAAAUUUGAGAAUGAAAAAAUUAGGGCUUGAACAUAGAUAGGCCAAUUUUGAGAAUGAAAAAAUUAGGGCUUGAACAUAGAUAGGCCAAUUUUGAGAAUGAAAAAAUUAGGGCUUGAACAUAGAUAGGCCAAUUUUGAGAAUGAAAAAAUUAGGGCUUGAACAUAGAUAGGCCAAUUUUGAGAAUGAAAAAAUUAGGGCUUGAACAUAGAUAGGCCAAUUUUGAGAAUGAAAAAAUUAGGGCUUGAACAUAGAUAGGCCAAUUUUGAGAAUGAAAAAAUUAGGGCUUGAACAUAGAUAGGCCAAUUUUGAGAAUGAAAAAAUUAGGGCUUGAACAUAGAUAGGCCAAUUUUGAGAAUGAAAAAAUUAGGGCUUGAACAUAGAUAGGCCAAUUUUGAGAAUGAAAAAAUUAGGGCUUGAACAUAGAUAGGCCAAUUUUGAGAAUGAAAAAAUUAGGGCUUGAACAUAGAUAGGCCAAUUUUGAGAAUGAAAAAUUUAGGGAUUUGAGAGACCGAAUUUGUCAAUGAGAGAUUUCAGAGAGAAAAUAUCGUCGUUGAGAGAGCGAUUAGAUUUUAGAAUGGAAAAAUUUUAGGGAUUUGAGAGACGAAUUUGAAAAAAAAAAGGAGGAUUUAAAUAAAUGAUAGGUGUACUAUUACCAAUCAAUCAUGACAAUAUCUUAAUCUGGUUUAGUUCAACUUAUAAAAUUUCUUGAGAUGUACAAGAGAUCUUUUUGUUUACUUUUGAGUUAAGUAUUUUUUUAAAAAAGGAAAUAAAUCAAUAAAAGUUAUUGUGUGUGUCAACAUAUUGGUUAGAUUAGUCUAUACACGUCAGUUUUAAUUACGAUCUCUCUUCCUAAAUAUUUUAUUUUUUGAAACAAACUCAAAAAUUUAUUGUAUAAAAAACACUAUCACUUUCAAUCAUAUGAUGGUUACAUUUUAGUCAUUUAUUCAUAACAUCCUCCUGAUCCUCCUUUGAGAAUAUUAAAGUGUGUCAUUCUGUAACCCAGAACUAUCAUUU